AAAAAGAUAAGCUAAUUAAGCUACUGGGUUCAUACCCCAUUAAUGAAAGUCUUAAUCUUUCUCUUUUUA
rnacentral:tRNA from 1 species